GGAAUGCGCAGAUAUCAGGAGGAACACCGAUGGCGAAGGCAGAUCUCUGGGCCGUAACUGACGCUGAGGAGCGAAAGGGUGGGGAGCAAACAGGCUUAGAUACCCUGGUAGUCCACCCCGUAAACGUUGGGAACUAGUUGUGGGGACCAUUCCACGGUUUCCGUGACGCAGCUAACGCAUUAAGUUCCCCGCCUGGGGAGUACGGCCGCAAGGCUAAAACUCAAAGGAAUUGACGGGGACCCGCACAAGCGGCGGAGCAUGCGGAUUAAUUCGAUGCAACGCGAAGAACCUUACCAAGGCUUGACAUAUACGAGAACGGGCCAGAAAUGGUCAACUCUUUGGACACUCGUAAACAGGUGGUGCAUGGUUGUCGUCAGCUCGUGUCGUGAGAUGUUGGGUUAAGUCCCGCAACGAGCGCAACCCUCGUUCUAUGUUGCCAGCACGUAAUGGUGGGAACUCAUGGGAUACUGCCGGGGUCAACUCGGAGGAAGGUGGGGAUGACGUCAAAUCAUCAUGCCCCUUAUGUCUUGGGCUUCACGCAUGCUACAAUGGCCGGUACAAAGGGCUGCAAUACCGUAAGGUGGAGCGAAUCCCAAAAAGCCGGUCCCAGUUCGGAUUGAGGUCUGCAACUCGACCUCAUGAAGUCGGAGUCGCUAGUAAUCGCAGAUCAGCAACGCUGCGGUGAAUACGUUCCCGGGUCUUGUACACACCGCCCGUCAAGUCAUGAAAGUCGGUAACACCUGAAGCCGGUGGCCCAACCCUUGUGGAGGGAGCCGUCGAAGGUGGGAUCGGUAAUUAGGACUAAGU
rnacentral:rRNA from 1 species